ACUCCUACGGGAGGCAGCAGUGGGGAAUAUUGCACAAUGGGCGCAAGCCUGAUGCAGCCAUGCCGCGUGUGUGAAGAAGGCCUUCGGGUUGUAAAGCACUUUCAGUCGUGAGGAAGGUAGUGUAGUUAAUAGCUGCAUUAUUUGACGUUAGCGACAGAAGAAGCACCGGCUAACUCCGUGCCAGCAGCCGCGGUAAUACGGAGGGUGCGAGCGUUAAUCGGAAUUACUGGGCGUAAAGCGCAUGCAGGUGGUUUGUUAAGUCAGAUGUGAAAGCCCGGGGCUCAACCUCGGAAUUGCAUUUGAAACUGGCAGACUAGAGUACUGUAGAGGGGGGUAGAAUUUCAGGUGUAGCGGUGAAAUGCGUAGAGAUCUGAAGGAAUACCGGUGGCGAAGGCGGCCCCCUGGACAGAUACUGACACUCAGAUGCGAAAGCGUGGGGAGCAAACAGGAUUAGAUACCCUGGUAGGAUAGCG
rnacentral:rRNA from 1 species